UGAUUAUUGAUAGAUGGUACAGUAAAGG
rnacentral:piRNA from 1 species